rnacentral:rRNA from 1 species
GACGAAGGGGGCUAGCGUUGUUCGGAAUUACUGGGCGUAAAGCGAGUGUAGGUGGUUGUCCAAGUUGGAUGUGAAAGCCUUGAGCUCAACUCAAGAAAUGCAUUCAGGAGUGGGCGACUAGAGGACCGGAGAGGAUAGUGGAAUUCCCAGUGUAGUGGUGAAAUACGUAGAGAUUGGGAAGAACACCAGUGGCGAAGGCGGCUAUCGGGACGGUUUCUGACACUAAGACUCGAAAGCGUGGGGAGCAAACAGG